GAGACGAACAUCCCAGGACCAAGAUGACAGUGACAACUCUGAGUCGGAAGAAGAAAUACUUCGGGACCAAAGAGAGAGGGAGGAGUUAGAACGACAUAUCAGAGAGCGAGAUGCUGCCGGGACUAGAAAGUUGGCAGAGCCAAAAUUAACAAGGAAGGAGGAAGAAGAAGCAAUCAGGAGGGCUGAUGCAUUGGAGCAAGAUGACAUUGGAUCUUUAAGGAAAGUUUCAAGGCGAGAAUACUUGAAGAAAAGGGAGC
rnacentral:misc_RNA from 1 species